CUCUUCUCUGAAGAGUCCAACAAUAGCACAUUCAUCAGAGGAGCUGCAGUCGGAGCCCAGGAGGAGACAACGAAAGACUGGGACCAAGGGGACCAGGCUAAAGAAAAGAGGCAAGACUUCUCUUCUAGACAAAAUGAAAGACACACAAGCCAUUCAGGAAGUUUCAGAGGCCUUGAAGAAUGAAGUUCAUGAGCUGGAAGAUAAAAUGGAGAAUCAAGCACAGAGGCAACACCUUCAAAAUUCCAAAGAAACAGACUCUGUCAGUCCCUACUCCUGAGCCAGCUGUGAUUGGAGAAGGGGAGGAUUAUUUCCUGUCUUUGUUUGGUGAUUCAAGGAAACUCAACGAACAUUCAUUACACACCGAGAAAGUUUGGAAGCACUUUUCUAUGAUUCUUGAAGAAGUAGGCCAAUCUAGAUCCAGUGCUCUUGGAGACGUUAAAAUAGCUGAAGUGAAUGUCAAGGGUUUAUUCGUGAAGCUCAUUAACUCGUCCCUUGACAAAGAACUGGAAAUUGGAAAUUAUAUUCUCCAACAAAAUGUGGAUGGACAAAGAGUCUCUCUGUAUCAAUUCCUUCCAGAUAUCAUAAUGCAGGCCAAUUCUACAGUAACAGUCUGGGCAGCAGCGUCUGAAGCAAAGCAUCAGCCACCAUCAGAUUUUCUUUGGAAGGAGCAAAACAGGUUUAGGACAGGCCCCAGUUGUACAACAAUCCUGUGCAAACCUAAUGGUGAAGCUGUUGCCUGGUACACUCCUGUUCACUGGAAGCAAGCAUGGGAGAAAUUGGAGACUGAUAUUGAAUUUGACAGAUGCUCAGUAGUAGGUUCAGCAUCUCGAAGGCACAUGUUUCAUUGGCCAACAGUUACAACUACAACUAAAGGAAAACAAGAUCAAUCUAAGAAGGACAGCUCAAAAUACCAGCUGGAACAAGUUCAAGCUUUUCUCAAAAGAGAAAAAGAAAUCCCGCCAACUCUUUUCCCCAGUCGCAGCCCUUGGUGCCACAGUCCUAAUGUCCCUGCACACCCCUACUGUCCUCUGAUUGAUCCUCACACCUGCAUGGCUGGACACAGCUUAGACAGACAACCCAAGCCUCGGUCAGCCAGGCCUGAUCCAGCCCAGAGACCAAGGAAAAACAGGACGUCUGAGUUACAAAAGCAAUAGGCAGUGGAUUCAACCUACAAAGGUUUUAAGGUCUUCCUGGACUUUCAGAAAUGAUAUUGAGAGCUCAUCCUCCAAAAAUUUUCUCCACAACAAGCCACAUGUGUUGCCUACUAUAUUUCCAGAGGGCAACAGGAGAAUGAAGAUUUAAUCUGAGCUGAGUUAAAUUGCUAUCUGCAAGCUAGGAAAAGGGCCCUCCCCAGGAACAGAAUUGGCUGGUACCUUGACUUUGGAUUUUCCAGCCUCCAGAACUGUUUUCAGCUCCAAGUCCAGGAUAUACGAAGCAAAAAGAAAACCCAAAACACUUACCACCACACUGGUCCUUGGCUUCCAAGUUCUAAAAGCAAAAACACCCCUGUCUAAAUGCGCCGGCCCACUGCCUGUCAAGGGAUCCUUAUGGGAGGCCGCCGGCGUCCCAGAAGACCGCCGCAUGACUCAAGACUCGAAAGGUUCCCGAGUUCAAGCUACUCUGGACGCCGCGGCUGCUUCGCGCUCGUCGCCGGGCCGCGCAGCCGCCACCCUGAUGUCCCCACCCGCGGGUCCGCGCGCCCCGCGCGCCCGCUGAGGGGGAGGGGCGCGCUCAGCCGAGGUCGCCGCCCGGUUGUGCAAUCCGGCUAUGCAAAUAAGUGGGGUUACGACAGCCAAUUAGAGGCCGGCUCUGCCGUGACGCGCGCGCCGAGAGCCCGUAGUAUUUAUAGAUCGUAUUUAAAGAGCCCUUGGGAGUCUCCCCGGGCUCGGCUGGGCGGCGGCGGCGGCGGCUGCAGGGCUGUAGUUGGCCGGGCGCGAGUGAGGUGGCUGGGCGGUCGCUGCUGGUACCGUCCCUGUGGGGGUGUUGGGCGUGGAGGAGUGUCAGAGCACGUUCUAUAGUAGUUUUUACCCACUUCCCAGCUCGAUUUCUGGAGAGGAGGAGGAAAUGGUGCAGUUUCCACAGUAGUUUCGCUUCAAACAAAGCCGGGGAUUUGAAAUCUCAAAGCUCAAGGUGGGGGAUGGGGGCAGCAGGUUGAACCGACCCCGCCCGGGCCCCUCAUUUGAGCCACAAACCGCCGCCGUUUCCUGGUGCUGAGCUGUGUGUAGAGGCACCCUUCCUGGGGGGAGGGGAGAACAAUACCGCCAAAAGCCAAAAGUCGCGGAAUUUGGGGGCGGGGUGUAUUCGUAGAAAAUAAAUUACGAGAUAGUGGCCCUGAUUAUCUUGGCGUUGAGUCGACUGAUCUUCAGACUUCCCGGCCAGCGAGCUGCACACUGCAAUGCGAAAGCAGGAAACUGGCAUUACGUCAGAAGAGAGGAGACCCAAAUUGCAACGGUUGCUUCUGCAGGCCUGGCUCUUUUUCCUUGGAGAGGUUCCGGGGUCCGGGCCCAGGGUGCUGCCCGAGCCAGGCGUCGCGGGCUUUCACGCCGAGGGCCCACCCCUGGCUGCACCCGGGGACCCCAGGCCCGGGCGCCUAUAGCCCUAGCCCUCAGCCGCUGCACGUUGCCCUCCCCGGAGGGCUCUUCAGAAACCACGACUAAUUCCUUUUAAAGAUAGCCCCGCGCCUAGCUGGAUGUCUUAAAUUCCCGGGGAGGGGGAGAGGGCGGGGUGUUGACUACUGCCCUUAGUGGAGCAGGAGCUCAUGUCCACCUCGGGAAAGCAGGUGGCAAAGGGGAGGAAUCCCAGCCUAGUGUAGAACAGGACGAGUUAUCCCCACCUGGUCAAGGAUCUCAAUCUUGAGGGGCGUGGUCACAGGAAACUUGUUCUCUGCCAGGGACCCUUCUCCUGAGGCUUUGCCACUGCUUCUUAGAAACCGCUUGAGGAUGGACCGCCGUGAAGCAGGAGGAUAUCGUGAAUUAGUACAUUCUGUCUCUUGGAAAACUUUGAAGAGUUUGACUCUAGCCUCACCUGCUCCCUCACUCCCUGGCUCAGGGUCAUUACAAGGUGCUGAGCGUUUUGGCAGACUAUCUCGUUUUAUUAUCACCAUAACUGCAUGAGGUGAGUACUGUUAUUCCCAUUUUGCAGAUAAGGAAACAGAUAAGAAGAAUCAGUUGUUUCCCUGUGGAUGGGAACCAGGCAAUCUGACGGCAAAGCCCGCACUUUCUGUGCAGGGUGGGGAGCUGACUUUGAUCAGGGGACCUUCCAGGUUCACCUCACCUCACCAAGAAGGCCUUCAUUGAUCCCUGCUGUUUGUCAAACUCAGUAAACCUAGUCCUGCUUAAA